rnacentral:rRNA from 1 species
GAUGAACGCUGGCGGCGUGCUUAACACAUGCAAGUCGAACGAUGAAGCCCAGCUUGCUGGGUGGAUUAGUGGCGAACGGGUGAGUAACACGUGAGUAACCUGCCCUUAACUCUGGGAUAAGCCUGGGAAACUGGGUCUAAUACCGGAUAGGAGCGCCUACCGCAUGGUGGGUUUUGGAAAGAUUUAUCGGUUUUGGAUGGACUCGCGGCCUUUCAGCUUGUUGGUGAGGUAAUGGCUCACCAAGGCGACGACGGGUAGCCGGCGUGAGAGGGUGACCGGCCACGCUGGGACUGAGACACGGCCCAGACUCCUACGGGAGGCAGCAGUGGGGAAUAUUGCACUAUGGGCGAAAGCCUGAUGCAGCGACGCCGCGUGAGGGAUGACGGCCUUCGGGUUGUAAACCUCUUUCAGUAGGGAAGAAGCGAAAGUGACGGUACCUGCAGAAGAAGCACCGGCUAACUACGUG